AGGCCUCUCUACCCUGCUCAGGAGAGGGCAGCCAGGUUGACUUCCUGAUCUAAACUGCCUGUAGUUCCCUGCAUGGAAUGUUCCAGAAGGACCCACCCCCUCCCCACUACAUCUUUCUCAGUUGUAACCAUGAAGAUGCUUCUGAAAUCAUUUUGAAGAAAUGCCAUUUCAUCACUUAAAA